CCCCGCCGCCGCCUUGG
rnacentral:miRNA from 1 species